UCUUUUUUCUGAAGCCCACGGGCAGCGUUUGUACCCCAAGCACAAAAAGCAUCAGCCCUUCUGUUCCCAAAAGGGAAGGGUUACCUGCGGCGACAGAGACCGUGUGCAGAAAGAGAAUGCUUUCCUAAAGGAAAAAAAAAGAGAACGCAGCCAAGACCAAAUGUUGAAUGAAAACGGUGCCAAAGGAGGCAGCAAAAGGGGGGAACCUCAACAAAAGAAAAAAAAAUCAGUGACACUACUUCAUGUUCUGCACAACGAUGGGAAACCUCCAACAGUUCCCAGUAACACUUCCAUGGCGACAGUUACACAAGAUGAUCCAAAAAUGCACAUGACAGCGACAUGCACACCUGGCUGAAGCUUUAAGUUUGAUCCCAAAAGAAUGCAUCUAUGAUUAAAAUGAUGAGACUUUUAA